UAUUUUUAAUAGCGUACAGUGUCACAUUGUUUACUUUCUUAUUGUUUCCAAAUAUUUAACUUUUUUUUUUCUAGUUUCUCUCUGCAGCAUGUUAAUAUUUGGCCUUGAAGGGCGCUUAUGAAUGCUGCAACCACACAUAUACAAUAUAACACCUAAUAUCUCUCUCACACACUGAGAGAGAGAGAGAGAGAGAGAGGUGGGGGAUGGGUGUCAUUGGAGACUAGAAGCAGAGAGGAGGGGUGAUGUUGUAAAUCACAUGACUGCUAUUGGAUGGACUGCAUGAUUAUUAUUAUGUAUAAACAGAAGGACACUGUCAUGCAGCAUCUCUCUCGGCUCUGACUCUGCAAAGCUUUGAUUUUUCUCUGACUCCGCUUGUAGAUCGAGGAUGCAGGUAAACACAUGAGCAAGGGCAGAGAGAUACAGUGAGAAAAAUGCAGCAUCCGUCAAGACGUUGUUAUUCUGCAGUGAAUGAAGGAUGCUGGAGCCACAUGUGCUGUUGUCAUCUGAAAUCAGUCUAACCUGACUUCAAAGAGAGCGGCACGAAUGGCAGGCGCCGAGCUUUGACCAGAUGUCAACACAAUCCCAUGCUGCACUGCUCACAGAAUGGACUCCAACGAUGACGGCAAAGAGGAAUGGACAGAGGAGCAAUGGGAGAAAUGGUUGACCCAGGACAUAGGUUUGGAUGGAUUUGAAGAUGAGGACCUGUCUGAAAUCACAGAAAUCGCUGAUGAGUUUGUACUGAGGCCCAGGCGCAACGACUCUGACAUCAAGGUGAGAAAAGAUCUUGCUUAACAUGUGAAUUUUACUGAACAUCAUUUAACAGACACUGCAAUCUCAUCUUGCUGCUGUUAUUAAUAAUUAUUAUUGUUCAUAUUCCCAGUGAAUCUUUUAAAUCUGAAAUAAAUAAUAAAUAAAAAUAACUUGUUUACCAAUUCUUUGUCCCGGAAGUGAGAUUCCCGUGCAGUACAUCGUUACACCUCUCGGUGGUGCCCAGUGAGUGACUCAGUCACAUUCACGAAUACCGUCCAGUAAAAAAGGUCUUUUAGGUAUUUUAAGAAGAAAAGAUUAUGGUCAGGAAACACA
rnacentral:lncRNA from 1 species